rnacentral:lncRNA from 1 species
CUCAGGUGACCGGCACAGGCGGCCGCGGGGUCCGGAACUGCUUGUUCCGGCAGUGGAAGAGACGCGCCGGCGUUGGCCGCUGCUGCUAGCAGCUUGAACCCCAGGGUCGGGACCGAUGUCGGCUUGGGCUGCUGCCAGCCUAAGCAGGGCCGCUGCCCGAUGCUUGCUGGCACGAGGCCCCGGGGUCAGGGCGGCUCCUCCGCGCGACCCCCGGCCCUCCCACCCCGAGCCCCGGGGCUGCGGUGCCGCUCCGGGCAGGACGCUGCACUUUACCGCGGCUGUCCCCGCCGGGCACAACAAGUGGUCCAAAGUCAGGCACAUCAAGGGUCCGAAGGACGUCGAAAGGAGUCGCAUCUUCUCCAAACUCUGUUUGAACAUCCGCCUGGCAGUGAAAGAAGGAGGCCCCAACCCUGAGCACAACAGCAACCUGGCCAAUAUCUUAGAGGUGUGUCGCAGCAAACAUAUGCCCAAGUCAACGAUUGAGACAGCACUGAAAAUGGAGAAAUCCAAGGACACUUAUUUGCUGUAUGAGGGUCGAGGCCCUGGUGGCUCUUCUCUGCUCAUCGAGGCAUUAUCUAACAGUAGCCACAAGUGCCAAGCAGACAUUAGACAUAUCCUGAAUAAGAAUGGUGAUGGCUGUAGGAGCUCGUCACUCUUUUGACAAAAAGGGGGUGAUUGUGGUUGAAGUGGAGGACAGAGAGAAGAAGGCUGUGAACCUAGAGCGUGCCCUGGAGAUGGCAAUCGAAGCAGGAGCUGAGGAUGUCAAGGAAACUGAAGAUGAAGAAGAAAGGAACGUUUUUAAAUUUAUUUGUGAUGCCUCUUCACUGCACCAAGUGAGGAAGAAGCUGGACUCCCUGGGCCUGUGUUCUGUGUCCUGUGCACUAGAGUUCAUCCCCAACUCAAAGGUGCAGCUGGCUGAGCCCGACCUGGAACAGGCCGCACAUCUCAUUCAGGCUCUCAGCAACCACGAGGAUGUGAUUCACGUCUAUGAUAACAUUGAAUAACCAGGCUACAUGUGCCCCCGGGUUCCUUCCUAGAAAUGUGGCAGCCCAUUCCAGCACACAGGCUUCUGCAGCAAUCUCUGAGGGUAAAGCCGGUGGGAGGCUCAGCAGGCCAGGAGGCCCAAGGACAGGACUUGCGACCUUGAAGCCAAAGGAAUCUCACUUGUGGGGCCUCCUUGUCAGCUCUGCUGCUGUCUCAGAGCCAUCUGGAUGAGUGUCCCGACACCCUCUCGGAUGCAGGGCAGGACCACCCAGCUGGUCAGACUCUGAUGUUGGGUAGCUGGCCUCUGUGGGGAUUGUAAGUGCCCUGAGGCGCUCUGUACUAGAAACUGCUCUUAAUAAUAACGGUGAUUAUUGGUUGC